CGUUGUCGUUGAGUGGUUCUGAAAUAGCUGCGUUAGGGGCAACUGCAACCAAGCGUUGCGGCAAGUUACGGUGGGAGCUUCUGUCCGUGCUCUGUGAUUGCGAAGAGGGGACCGCCGCCAGCAGCAGCGUAUCGCCGAUUUUGUCUUUGCCGACAUCAAGCAAGUGCAGCUCGCCAGACCGUCACAAGCGCCCGAAGUGCUGCGGUUUGCACUGCAUCUUUCAUUGUGAUAUGGGAUAUCGCAGCGGACAGAGACGACCAGAUUCAUACGAACCACUACCAGCGGGGACCUGUGAUCUGUGCCAUAUUUCUCUUAACGUCUCAGGUAUUCAAGAAAUGGCAGCAGCCAGAAGUCGCCCUCUUAUCCAGCACGUUAUGGGUACACUCUGGCGGCUCCUACUCCUGUGUCCUACCAGCACCCUGUCCUGACUACGUCCACUAGGGAGUUGGGAGCCUUUGGCGGCUUCUGCCCCUGCAUCCUGCUGCCACCAUGUCCCGACUACAUCCACUAGGGAGUUGGCAGCCUUAGUGAUGAUGCCAGCAGGCUGACAGCCGACAGAAAGAUUCAGGUUGCCUCGAAAUUUUACCCAAGCCAUGCCGCAGACUCGGGCCAGGCCUCUUGCGAACGACGUAUAACCAGGCUCAACGCAUCAGUUUCGAGUGAGUCCGGAGAUCAAGGCAACCUGCUGCGCAACCAGCGUGCAACCUUUGGUGACCCCUCUAGAUGUUCUAUUUAUUUCACAGCUGUGCCUCACCUACCAUCUAUCCAAACAGCAUCACCAUCUGUGAUCACUUAUCGAACCAUGGAUGAAUGUUGGGGUGGAGUGAUUUGAACAGACAUUCCAUUUGUCUCUUCAAAGUCUUUGCAAAUAUUUCUGCUAUUAUAAUUCAUAUGUGUCUUUAGCACCUAGUUUUUAAUAGUUCCGUUCUCUUAGAAUUUUCACCAUCUACUCCUGCUGUUAUAAUGUAUACCUGCCUUUAACCCCCAUUUCUCGUAGUUCUUUUGUACUUGUGGAUGUCAUUGAUAGGUUCUUAAUUCUUGUUGUACAGAAGGCCAAAAUGCCAACUUACGGCAUUUUUUCUUCCUUUGAUAAUCUACAGCACUGCAAUGCGUUCAAGAAAUGUAACAUAACACGGGCUCUGGUGCAGGAUAAAUUUAAGCGCAAUAUAGAGCACUUAU